GGCCGGUUAGCUCAGUCAGUAGAGCGUAACGCUAAGGUCACGGGUUCAAUUCCCGUUCGGUCC
rnacentral:tRNA from 1 species